CGCUGUCUCUUUCCAAGUGCCUUGGUGAGCAGGGAGAGGUGGGAAGACAUACAACAGAGCCUGCACCCAGACUUGCAACAUCGAGUUGUUAAUAUCUUCAGUCUGAGAGUCAGGGGAGCACCUUAAGGGCAAGUUAUUGAUGUUUUUAUGUGCAAGGCUGUAAAUAAUUUGCCUACCAGACUGAUUUAUGUUGCUCAAUGUGGGGAAGCACUCAUAAUCUGCUACACGGUUUUUGUCUUCCUCUUGCCUGUGUUAGACCUCAACUACCAGAACAGGAAAUGUUGAUAAUUGUCUUUGUUACUUAUGACCAAUGAAGGUGACACACUGACUGUGUGAUGAUUCUCUGUGAUUUAAUUGGAUGAAUCACAUAAUAAUGUUAACCAUUUGUGUGCUUGAAUUCAGGUAACUGCUUUUCUUCUCAGUAAGCAGAAGAGUCUGCUGGUGCAGUCUGCUUUGUGCAAGGACUCCUUAUGCUGCCUUUGGUGAGGAUGAGUGGGAGACCCAAACACUGAGGGCUGUUUGUUAGGCUGCCCUCUAUGACAGUGCUUUUAUUCACUUUUAUGUUCUUCAUGAGUUUUAUUCUUGUGAUCUUGCUUCAGAAAAAGGAGAGCAGAAGCUGAGGUUGGAGAUUACUGUGAGAUACUUGGAAUAGCUCCUUGCCCUCACAACAUCUUUUUAGUUCUUCUUGACUGUGGGAAUCUGGGAAUACUUCACAGCUCUUGGGUUCAGCUGUAAGUUAAAGUGGAAGAAAACAGGAGGAUGGCAAGAUGGAAAAGAGAAGUGAGAGUUGAAAAAAAAGUAGAAUGUAAAACUCCAUAAUUCUCAGUACAGCAGAACAGUCAUGGUUCUAGCUGGAACAGCCAGUAGGAAGCAAAUAUUUUUGUGUGCAAUUUAAGGUUUGGUAUGAGGGUGCAUUCCCUUCCCUAAAGCUAAAAAAUAAAAGAUUAUACUAAAAAAGAUGGGAGUUUGAAAAUAUUCUAUGAUGUUCCCCACAGUUGUUCUUGUGGGGAACGAUGUGACAUAAAUUUUUUUAUCUUGGUUUUGACAUUAUGAAAGUGAAAAUACUUAGAUGGAAGAAGUAGUGAGUUCUUCAUGAGUGACCUGUGACCAGGACUGAUUAACAUCUAGUGAUUGCAGAAGCAACUAAGAGGCAGUAGAAAGGUGGGAACAGGAAAAAACCCCUGCAAGAUGUAGCAUAACAACCUAGUGGACUGGAUAUUACGUUUAAAAAAAAAAAGCUUUAUUUAACAAUACAGAGAUCUCUCAUAGCCAGCACCUGUAGUAUCUAACAAGUUUAACAAGUCAAGGGAAGUAAAUUUGCUUGUGGGAUAGCUUGUUGUUAUUUAUAGCACAAAUUGCUGAGACUUCAGGUGUUGCCACUGUGUCCUCACCAUCCUUUUUGGAAGCAUCACAACAGAAAUAAUUGCCAGAGAUUUGGGAAGCUGAAACCUUGUUCACCUGUGUGAAAAGUUGAAGGCCCCUGUGCUCCUGGGAAUUUUGACCACCUACAACUGCACUUAUAUUGACUUCACAAUGUCUUCCUUUUCCUGUAUUACAAGUGAAAAAGGCAUACUAUGCAAGACUUGGAUAACUUGAGGUAUAUUUUCUUGUGUCUAUGUAAGUGGAACUAGCAUGUUCUGAGGCAGGCACAAGCUUUUGGAUGAGGUUGCUUAAUGGUGUUGUGUAUUUCUCUGCUACGAGCCAGCUGUGGAAUAACAAUGAAAGGAGAGAUGUGCAACUCCCCAUUGCACUGACUUCGAGAGCUUCGUGGCUGUUCUGCAGACAGAUGCACAAUUGUGAAACAUCAAUAUGGACUGCAAAUCUCUACUGUCAGUCAGCUCCUCUUCCCCUCUGCAUAACGUAAUCCCUAUCUCCACAAUGCCUGCACAGAUACACAUUUGCAAAGAUGUUUUUCUGGAGAUAGCGUGCAUAGCAAACACUCCCUUACUUGUUCUCAUCUCUAGCAACAUUAUACAGAGUUUCAGUUCACAGUUCCCUGUGUUCCCCCUCCCACCGCUGAAAUGCAGCCAACUCCGAGCUGCGGCUAUUAAGCAUCACACAAGCAACACCACAAAACAGAUUGUGGAAAGCACAGGAAUUCACAGAAAAGCAACAAAUUGACAGAGGUCUGGGAAGUGAUAAUAAAGGAUCAUAGGGAAUGAAUUAUUCAUGAUGCAGAAUAGCCAUCACCUUGGUGUUCAGGUAGUACCAGCAUGCAAGGGCAAGUUUUUGAGGGUGGCAGAGUCACUAGGUGCAGUCAGGUUUCAGCAAGGGAGAUGAGCAGGUCAGCUUCCUUAACCACUGAGUUUUGUCAGUCUUUCAGAGUCCCAAGGAAAGGGCUGAAGGCAUCAUUGCCUGAGGGUUUUAGAACUGGUCAGUUUCAAGACAGGUGAAGGCACUUUGAGGGCAGAUGAAUAAAACAAGAUGGAGCAA